rnacentral:rRNA from 1 species
UACGAAGGGGGCAAGCGUUGUCCGGAAUCAUUGGGCGUAAAGCGCGUGUAGGCGGUUCGAUAAGUCUGCUGUGAAAGUCCAGGGCUCAACCCUGGGAUGCCGGUGGAUACUGUCGAGCUAGAGUACGGAAGAGGCGAGUGGAAUUCCCGGUGUAGCGGUGAAAUGCGCAGAUAUCGGGAGGAACACCAAUUGCGAAGGCAGCUCGCUGGGACGUCACUGACGCUGAGACGCGAAAGCGUGGGGAGCAACAGG